rnacentral:lncRNA from 1 species
GAGUCACACAGCUAAUAGUAAUACGGAAGCGGGGAUUCUUAAACUGCCUGAUUGACUCCAAAAUGGACUUUACUGCUUUCUACUGAUAAAAGAAUUUGAAAUGACACUCAGAGCUAACUCAGUCUUCUAGAACGCUGGAGCUGGGAGUCACUCUAGGGACAGCCCUUGUUCUGUAAACAAGGGAGCAACAGCCCUGACAGAGCCAACUGGCAGGUUCAUAGGUAGAAGAAACUCAUCUCCAGAUGAGUCUUUGGACUUGGGACUUGGGACUUUUGAGUUAAGACUUCAGAGGACUAUUAUGAAGGCAUGAUUAUAUUUUGAAAUGUGAGAAGGACAUGAGAUUCAGGGAGCCAGGGGCAGAAUGAUAUGGUUUGGA